rnacentral:rRNA from 1 species
CCUACGGGUGGCAGCAGUGAGGAAUAUUGGGCAAUGGACGCAAGUCUGAACCAGCCAUGCCGCGUGCAGGAAGACGGCCCUAUGAGUUGUAAACUGCUUUUGUACGAGGGUAAACGCAGGUACGCGUACCUGUCUGCAAGUAUUGUACGAAUAACGAUCGGCUAACUCCGAGCCAGCAGCCGCGGGAAUACCGAGGAUUCAAGGUUUAACCGGAUUUUUUGGGUUUAAACGGUGCGUAGGCGGUCGGAGAAGGUAGGGGUGAAAUCCCGAGGCUCAACAUCGGAAUUGCCUUUGAUACUGUUCGGCUUGAGAGUAGUUGCGGUAGGAGGAAUGUACGGUGUAGCGGUGAAAUGCUUAGAGAUCAUACAGAACACCGAUUGCGAAGGCAGCUUACCAAGCUACUUCUGACGUUGAGGCACGAAAGCGUGGGGAGCAAACAGGAUUAGAUACCCGGGUAGUC